GGGUCAGUAGGUUGGUCGUGCCACCGGUACGUACUGGUCUCACUGAUUCCUCCUUCCUGAAGAACCGUAAUGCCAUUAAUUUGGUGUUGCGGGGAAACAGGACUGUUACUUUGAAAAAAGUAGAGUGUUUAAAGCAAGCUAACGCUUGAAUACAUUAGCAUGGAAUAAUGAAAUAGGACGAUCGAUCCUAUUUUGUUGGUUUCUAGGAUUGACGUU
rnacentral:rRNA from 1 species